rnacentral:lncRNA from 1 species
AGGGUUGGUGGUAAAGGGAGCUUGAGGAGAGUUAAGAAGUGAGACUGGAGAGAGCCCCAGGGGAAAACAUAGCACAGUUCUCAGGAACCGAAUUGACAGCAGAUCUGGGUAAGUUCAAAAACUCAUAUCAUGUAGGAGGUCAAGACCUUUAACAGCGGGAGGGGGAUUGAAAGUCCUAGAAAUAGAUACUGAAAUUUUUUUAAAUGAAGAAAUUGAGAAGAAGAGAUAAAGGAACUUGAUCGUAGAGUCCCAGGGGGUCUAUUAACCCCUCACUCCAUGACACAAAAAGAUGCCC